UACGUAGGGGGCUAGCGUUGUCCGGAAUCAUUGGGCGUAAAGCGCGUGUAGGCGGCCCGGUAAGUCCGCUGUGAAAGUCGGGGGCUCAACCCUCGGAUGCCGGUGGAUACUGUCGGGCUCGAGUACGGAAGAGGCGAGUGGAAUCCUGGUGUAGCGGUGAAAUGCGCAGAUAUCAGGAGGAACACCAAUUGCGAAGGCAGCUCGCUGGGACGUAACUGACGCU
rnacentral:rRNA from 1 species